CGCGGUGAUUUACAUGGACUCUGUUGUUUGGCAAAGGUAAAUGACUGGCAUCCUUCUGCUUCACUGUGCUUCCAGCACUGCUGGCGAUGAAACCCAAUUUGGUGGCAGAGAAAACCGAUACCACGUUUACUUCUGAAAAUAUUCAAGAGACAGGACGACGAUGGGGGAAACGUAGACGGCUUCGCUUCUUUGGGCCCAAAAAAAAGAAGAGUCGUCCUCAAGACUGCGCGUCAUCGAGCCAGGCCGUCCUCUAGACACAACAUGGCAAGUAAUGUCCGAAUGACUGCUUCUCUAUUUGUCUCAGUGGCUAUGCCUGGCCCCGGGAAGCAUUCCUCAGCCUGCUGGUCAGUGUUGGGUCAAUAACAGCAGCCAUGCAAGUUCAGAUAGAGACGAUAGAGAGAUGAUGACCAUAUGGACACACAGCGAUCUCCAGGACACUUGCCGUUGACACAGAAGAAAUACUAUUUGGUAAAGUUAUAUUUUAUGUUUUUAUCUAUUUAGGUCAAGGACAACUCAUCAUUGUUUUGCUAGAGUUGUUGCUCCAUCAUUUCAUGAUUUUUACGACUGUCUCUGCCAGCUUAUAUCUGCGUAUAGUAGGGCAUUUAAGUACUUUCAAUUUACUACCAAGUUUCAUGUAUAACUACUGUAUCUCAUUAGUACUUGUUUAUUGAUACAAACUGGGAAUCCUUAUACUUCCAAGCUAACUCGAAGGUUACAAGCUGACUUUGCAGCUACAGACGACCUCAUUUUCUCAACAUACCAUCUUCACUAACGCGCCAUGUCAAAUGUCCACUAUCUAUCACCGAGGCUUUUAUAUGGUCUGUUCCCGGCUGCUGCCGUUUGUCUGUCUACCCCCGAUCUCUCUGCAUUCACACACACGAACACACGCAUGCACGCACGCACACACCCACACACACACACACACACACACACACACACACACACACACACACACACACACACACACACACACACACACACACACACACACACACACACACACUGCAUGUCUCGGGCCCAGCUGCUUAGGUUUCAGCCCUUAUCUGCUCCAUCACCUUGACUUUAUUCAUGGCAGGUGUGUGUUUGAGCGUGUGUGUGUGUGUGAGGGUGUGUACGUAUGUGUGUGUAUACGUGUUUGUGUACGUGUAUGUGUGU
ensembl:lncRNA